GACGAACGCUGGCGGCGUGCUUAACACAUGCAAGUCGAACGGAAAGGCCUGCUUUCCCUUGUGGAUUGCGGGUACUCGAGUGGCGAACGGGUGAGUAACACGUGAGUGAUCUGCCCCCAACUUGGGUAUAAGCCUGGGAAACUGGGUCUAAUUCCCGAUAGGACUGCAGGGUGGUGCCUGUGGUGGAAAACGAUUUUCUAGUGGUUGGGGAUGAGCUCGCGGCCUAUCAGCUUGUUGGUGGGGUAAUGGCCUACCAAGGCGGCGACGGGUAGCCGGCCUGAGAGGGUGGACGGCCACAUUGGGACUGAGAUACGGCCCAGACUCCUACGGGAGGCAGCAGUGGGGAGUAUUACACAAUGGGCGGAAGCCUGAUGCAGCGACGCCGCGUGGGGGAUGACGGCCUUCGGGUUGUAAACUCCUUUCGACCGCGAGGAAGCCACCUGGUUGGAAGGGUGGUGACGGUAGUGGUAGAAGAAGCACCGGCUAACUACGUG
rnacentral:rRNA from 1 species